GUGGAUGUAGCUCAGGGGUAGAGCGCCUGACUGUGGAUCAGGAGGUCGUGGGUUCAAAUCCCAUCAUCCACC
rnacentral:tRNA from 1 species